rnacentral:lncRNA from 1 species
AAAUAGGCUCUACCCACUACACAUUAGAAGUUUUUUUUCUCUAUUUUUUUCAAAAGUUGACUUGUUACUCAUGAAAAUAAGAUUUCUGUGAGGUCAUUUUCAGUCCCAGGAAAUCGCGAGAAUGCAGGAUUUUGCACCAUUUACUCUAGAGCUUCUUGAGGCCUUGAGCGGCCCCCAGACCCCUCGCCGUAUGACUUCUUUCCCCGGCAUUGCGUACACAUCAUAUUGGCCUAGCUACGCCCCUGG